CCACCAUAUUUCAUACUAAAUUUUCAACAUAUAUAAAAAUUAUUGGAAAAAAAAAGAAUGAAAUAAUGGUGGGAUUAAGCGUAGUUUUGGAAAAUCAAAAUAGUAGUAGUAAUAUAAUUAGUCAAAAGAACCCACAGGUUAUCAGCAAAACAAGCAUGCUAAUUACCACCGCCACCAGCGGCAAAGUUUCUUUUAUAAAUCCACCGUCAAACUACGCAGUUCCUCCUUUUCUUCAACAAUGCUUCCUUUGCAAACAAAACCUCUUACCUGCACAAGACAUAUAUGUACCAAGGAGAUAGGGGUUUUUGCAGCGUGGAGUGUAGGUGCAGGCAAAUUCUAAUGGACGAAGAAGAGACUUUAAAGAAACCAAACUGUUCUUUUGCAGCCAUGAAACCUUCUUCUUCAGCUUCUCGUCGCCGCCGUGAAACUGGAAGAAGCCGAGCCGGUGGUUCUGGUUAUUGAAAAACAAAAACGAGCCGACAUGAACGGAAGAAGAAUGGUUUUGUUUAAACUGUAGUGUUUUCCAAUGUUGUGUUUUGCUAAUUUUGUAAUGAAAAUGUCUAAUCUUCUGUCGUUUUGUUUCA